GCAAGUUGGAGUUAAACUCUGCAGGACACCGGCCCUCCAGGACCGAGUUUGGGAACCCUUGCAUUAAAACAUUAGUUAUCCUGAACUGAAACGGGAGGAAUUGUGUUCCACUGCAGAAAGAGAGGAGUAUGCUCAGAUAAAGGUCGGGAUUCGUUCAGUUUAUCAAAUAAUCGCACCUUACUGGAGAGAUUCUGUGGAUACUGAGGACUACUUCAAGCAGUUAGAACUGAAAUAUUUUCAGCUUGUGAGAGAUAAUAACUAAAGACUGAAAGUUCAAUGACAACGCCAGGUCGACCUGAAGAGGAUGACAGGCAGCGGACGAAAACAGCCAGAUGUGCCUAAACUAAAUAAACAUCAUCAUCUGGCCACACUUUUGACAGUAUUGUGCACUGAAGUGAGGGACUACAGGGAUGGAGUAUUAAGAAUUAUUAACAAGUCACAUGGUGUAACAUUUUCCUCACACCUUGAAUAAAUGU